GCCGCACGCAUGCCAGGCGAGCACGCUACCGCUUGAGCAACAUCCCCAGCCCCUGUAGUUUCUUAUCUAGGAUUUUUUCCUUAAAAAGCACAGAAAAGUACUGAGGUCCUUUUUAGAAAUUGCUUAUGACUUAAUAGUUACAGAAAAAUUGAAAGCAACCUAAAUGUAUAUUGGGGGUUUUGGUUAAAUUAUGAUACGGGGAAAUACCACACAGCCAUACAAAGAUAUUGAGAUUGAUGUUUGUACAUGAUAAUGAAGCACAGAGAUAUACAACAUGAAGAGUUUGGCCCUAUUUGUACAGAAAAAAGGUUGUCUCUGUAUGUGUAUGUAUGAGUUUUAUGGACAGGAUUUCCAGGAAGAUACGCAAGAAAAUCAGUAAGCAGUAAUUACUUCUCAUCCGUGGCAGGCUCUACUAUUAUACUUUAUUUAUAAUAAAGUUGGGGAUUGGACCCAGGAGUUUGCUCUGCUGUUUUAUUUUUUUUGUGGCCUACUUAAAUUUAUUUACAAUAAAUAUAAUAUAUUUUAUAAUUAAAAAUGCCUUUUUAGGGAUCGGAGAUGUGGCUUUUUGGAGGGGAGCUUGCCCAGUGUGCUUGAGAGCCUGGGUUCAACUCCAGCACUGAAAUAACUAAACAGGAUCGAACCCAAUGCCUCACCUGUGCUAAGCAAGCACUCCAGCACUGAGCCCCAGCGCUGAGCCCCAAUGCUGAGCCCCAGCCAUGCCCAUUAUUUUUAAAGACAGCUUUCCAUUGUAUGUGCAUUUGUACUAUUGUGUUUUGAACCAAUGUUUUUUUCUUAUACGUGUAUCUCUAUCCUUGCCUUGAAUGUAAAUAUUGACUCUUGGUCUUGGUAUUCUUUUUUUUUUUUUUUUUAACACUAGGAAAGAAACAUCUUUAUUUACAUGUACUUGAUAAUAGUGAUGGGAUUCUCAAUAUCAAAGGAAAACUUGACAAACUUAUAAAUUUUAUCUAAUCUGUGAUUAUGAUGGUAUAUUUGCCAUAUCUUCUCCUAAAGAAUAAAGAUAAUAUUUGUACAAGUUGUUUGAAAACA